GCAAGUACAAGGUGAUGAAUGACUGCACUGGCCAUUGCUUCAUGAAGAGCCACGAAAAAACAGAGCCGGUUUCUCAGCAGGUGGCUGGCUGCUCAGUCACAAAGGACCUCUUUGGACAGGCUUUAUGGAAAUACUGUGCCUAGGACAGUCGCUCAAAGGCAGGAGGGAGAGAAAAUGCAUCUGCAAGCUCACUUUGUCUUCUUUCUUCUGCUGGUCAAAAUUUGCUGGCUGGGGCAGUUAACGCCCUCACACAUCCGAGUUGUGUCACCUGGCCCCUUUGGUAGCCACUGGGGAAGCCAGAUCUAGGCAUGUGGCCUGAUGGCUCCUGCGGUGGAACCACAUGCUCACACUCAGUCAGUCACCACUGGGAUGCCCUGGGCAGGGCAGGCUGAGUGGCUGGGAGAUAGCUGAGCCUAAGAUAUCUAAGCAAGCACCUGUGAUGUAUGCACUGCAGUGUCCAAAUGUGAAAAAGCAAGAAAGGGAGAUAGAAGCAUAUUUUUUUCUGGAGAGAAGGAGGAAACCACCAGGAGAAUACAAACAGAAAAAAGACUGCCAGCUCCGUGACAGCAAGAACCUUGUAUGACUUUUUCAUGAUGGAUGUUCAUCUGUGCCAUCUGUAAAUAUUGAAUAAAUAUUUGUGGAAUACAUGAAUCUAAAAGUGAAUGGAAUGAUAAAGAGGGAAAGGGUCAUGACAUCUACUACAGCAUUUGGCACAGACCCAGGUUUCCCUGGUACUGGUAAUUCCCAGCAGCUUUCUACAAUUCCAAAGCUGUCUGCAGUACUAUCAAGAGAUGACAUGGACUUCAAGGAUCAAACAGGGGAGAAAAAGGCUUAAAAGAAAAACAAGUCUCCAUCAAAGUCCUCCUGACAUCUUAAUCUAUCUGCCAACGCUACAUGCCGUCAAGCCAAGGAAGAAUUUCCUUCUCACUGUUGCUUCUCUGACCAAGGAAGACAUAAGCACAACCAAUCACCAGACUGAUGAAAUUCCUUCCAGUUUCAGAAAAGAUUAUCACCAAUCCCUACAUUAUAAAAUUCAUACUAAUAAAGCACAAACAUUGAAUUCUAACAUUA
ensembl:lncRNA ERICH2-DT ERICH2 divergent transcript